CAGCUAAGCUAAGCUAAUGCUUUUCUCAGAAGCGCUCGUGCCGUGGGUAAACAGCGCGCGCGCGCCCUCUGGCGAGCUCCCACCAACGGUCACCUGCGGCCAAACCUGACAUAAACCCCGCUUUAUCAGCUUUUACUGCGGAGAUAAAAAGGCUAAAUCAAACUAAACAGUCCGUGUACAACUAAUAAUUCACAGAAAAGCCGCGUGUGCCCUUCUGAAGGUUCCCAGGAGGAUUUUACUGACCGGCGGGGUGAAGAGUGAGAGUCCGGAUCAGCCCAGUUUAUCAGGAUGUGUUUGGGAGUAAUAUUUUACCUUGGGUAUCUCUACUUCAACUCAAGUACAUGGCUACAGAGAUACAGACUGAAACCCAGCGCAACAUUCUCAUACAGCCUACUGUCAUCAUACUGAGAGGAAAUCCUUCUGUCUUUCCCAGAGUAGUGGAAGUGCUGUGAGUUUUAGACAACUCUGUUUCCUGAGCAGAUGAGGAUGUUCCCAGCUAAUCUUUCACAGGGUAAGUAGCCGAGACAGCCCCCCACGCUAAGGAAAUGCAGACAGGUGCUCUUGGAAACUUCCACAGAUGCUCCUGUAUUAAACACAAUGAAACACAUUCAUCUUUUAGCUGAGAAACACAUCAGUGCCAAUCCAUCCAACAUAAACUAUUUUAAGGUGUACUAAAACAACAGUUCUGCUGAGGCAGCUAAAUUAUUGGAAGUAUCAAUCAGAAUCUGAUCCAGAGAUAUAAAUUGUAGGUUACAAUAAUUGUUUGUGCAGCGUAGCUUUUAUUUCACUUGUGGAAAAUGUGUGACCAGCUGAAAAAGUGAUUAUAAAAUA